rnacentral:rRNA from 1 species
GACGAACGCUGGCGGCGUGCUUAACACAUGCAAGUCGAGCGAUGAAGCUCCUUCGGGAGUGGAUUAGCGGCGGACGGGUGAGUAACACGUGGGUAACCUGCCUCAUAGAGGGGAAUAGCCUUCCGAAAGGAAGAUUAAUACCGCAUAAGAUUGUAGUGCCGCAUGGUGCAGCAAUUAAAGGAGCAAUCCGCUAUGAGAUGGACCCGCGUCGCAUUAGCUAGUUGGUGAGGUAACGGCUCACCAAGGCGACGAUGCGUAGCCGACCUGAGAGGGUGAUCGGCCACAUUGGGACUGAGACACGGCCCAGACUCCUACGGGAGGCAGCAGUGGGGAAUAUUGCACAAUGGGGGAAACCCUGAUGCAGCAACGCCGCGUGAGUGAUGACGGUCUUCGGAUUGUAAAGCUCUGUCUUCAGGGACGAUAAUGACGGUACCUGAGGAGGAAGCCACGGCUAACUACGUGCCAGCCGCCGCAGUAACAC